rnacentral:misc_RNA from 1 species
CCAAUAGCGUAUAUUAAAGUUGUUGCAGUUAAAAAGCUCGUAGUUGAAUUUCGGGAUUGACGUGAUGGUCAUGCCUUAAGGGGUAUGAACUGUUACUGUUGAUUUCUCACCUUCUGGAGAAACUUGAUGUCCUUUAUUGGGUGUCUUGCGGAUCCAGGACCUUUACCUUGAAAAAAUUAGAGUGUUUAAAGCAGGCAUUUUUGCUCGAAUACAUUAGCAUGGAAUAAUAGAAUAGGACGGCAUGGUUCUAUUUUGUUGGUUUCUAGGAUCACCGUAAUGAUUAAUAGGGAUAGUUGGGGGCAUUAGUAUUCAAUUGUCAGAGGUGAAAUUCUUGGAUUUAUUGAAGACUAACUACUGCGAAAGCAUUUGCCAAGGAUGUUUUCAUUAAUCAAGAACGAAAGUUAGGGGAUCGAAGACGAUCAGAUACCGUCGUAGUCUUAACCAUAAACUAUGCCGACUAGGGAUCGGAUGAUGUUAAUUUUUUAAUGACUCAUUCGGCGCCUUACG